rnacentral:rRNA from 1 species
UUGAACGCUGGCGGCAUGCUUUACACAUGCAAGUCGAACGGUAACAGGCCGCAAGGUGCUGACGAGUGGCGAACGGGUGAGUAAUGCAUCGGAACGUGCCCAGUCGUGGGGGAUAACGCAGCGAAAGCUGUGCUAAUACCGCAUACGAUCUAAGGAUGAAAGCGGGGGACCGAAAGGCCUCGCGCGAUUGGAGCGGCCGAUGUCAGAUUAGCUAGUUGGUGGGGUAAAGGCCCACCAAGGCAACGAUCUGUAGCUGGUCUGAGAGGACGACCAGCCACACUGGGACUGAGACACGGCCCAGACUCCUACGGGAGGCAGCAGUGGGGAAUUUUGGACAAUGGGCGCAAGCCUGAUCCAGCAAUGCCGCGUGCAGGAAGAAGGCCUUCGGGUUGUAAACUGCUUUUGUACGGAACGAAAAGACUCCUUCUAAUAAAGGGGGUUCAUGACGGUACCGUAAGAAUAAGCACCGGCUAACUACGU